AUACUGGUAGGAACCAUUGGCUGCUUUACUGCAUAUCUGUAUCCAUAAUGUCAGCAAAGUUCUAGCAUGUUCUUCAUUAGACUUGGAAUACUUUGAAUGUGAAAACUACGUAGCAGCGUCGUGUCCAUUGGUUCAGAUCAGAAGAUGAGGGAACCAGCUAGGAAACAGAUGGAGAUGAAAGCCUAAAACUUCAGGGCACCAUGGAGACUGACUCUGAAGCUAAAAAACUUUGUAAUCUCUGCAUGAAGUUUUUACCAUGGUGAUUGAAUUGAGGAGCUAUACCUUUGCUCGAAUGACAGAUUAUAUAGGCACGUUGGCCUUCAGAACCUGUAAGUGAAAUCCAUUCAAGGUCAGAAGGAUAAGCUACUAGAAUGCUUCCAACAACAUCAAUUUAUAAUUCUAUAUUGAAGAUUCCUGUAAAAAUUGUUUUACAUUUGACUUAAUUUAUAUUUUUCAUGUACAGCUAGCCCUUCCUAAAUCCUUUGGGAAUCUUUGUAUAAAAAAUAUGAUGAAAAACUUCA